ACCUCCCUUUUUAUAUGGGAAGCAUAAGGUACUGUGGGAUUCAAAUUUGAAAUCCCAAACUUUCCGGCCCGGUCCAUGUAUCGGUUCCCUUCCCCUAUUAUCUCCCAUCCUUUUCUCUACAACCUCCUUCAUGCUAAAUCGUUUUAACUGUCAAGCUUUCUUUUUUGUUGUCCACUGCCAUCGAUUGAGAAAAUAGGUCCAACAAGGAAAGCGAGUUGAAAGACUGCUCCACUGUAGAGAGCUUGGAUUUUGGUUGUAUUAAUUAUAAUAUUUUAUAAACUUUCGCGGAUUUUAUCUUAUAGCAUCCAAUGGGAAAUUUAUUUUGUUUAAAUGAAUCGUUGCUUCAUUUACAAGGUUAACUUCAAGGAUAGGAGUGCCCUUACAAUAGUUAGCAGGACAGAAGUACCACUUGGGGGAAACCUUGACAAAAGGUUCAUAUACUCUGCACCCAACAAUGGGAAGAAGUUCUGUAUAAAAUCUGGUCACAAGGGCUUAAAUUCGAAAAUUAAGUAGAAAUGGUUAUUAUCAAAAAAAAAAUUGAUUUAUGUUAUCUUCAUGGGUAAUACAAAUUUAGUUUUUAGAUUUAUCCUGGUGAUAACUAGUUAAUGUGUUUUUUGAUUGCACAGGAGUGAGAUUUGGAAACUCUUAGAUGUCAAAGGUAGAAUUGUCCAAAAUGGGAAUUAAAAAGAUGCUUGGGAGUUAGGAUUUUUAUGUCGUGAAUAAUAAAAUCAUGGCAACAAGUUUCAAAUUUAAUUUAUUUAUGGAUGGAGAUGUCAACUGCAGGACAAUUAUAAGCUAUGGAAAGUACUAUCAUUUGUUUAUCAUAACAUAUUUCUUCCAUUUUUCUUUUAUUACGACAUUCUACCUUUUAUAUAUUUUUUAUUAAGACAUUGUACUUUAAAAAUCCAACAAAUUAUAAAAUUUUACUUUGUAUUA